CAAGUCGAGCGCCCCGCAAGGGGAGCGGCAGACGGGUGAGUAACGCGCUGGGAAUCUACCUUUUGCUACGGAACAACAGUUGGAAACGACUGCUAAUACCGUAUGUGCCCUUCGGGGGAAAGAUUUAUCGGCAAAGGAUGAGCCCGCGUUGGAUUAGCUAGUUGGUGAGGUAAAGGCUCACCAAGGCGACGAUCCAUAGCUGGUCUGAGAGGAUGAUCAGCCACACUGGGACUGAGACACGGCCCAGACUCCUACGGGAGGCAGCAGUGGGGAAUAUUGGACAAUGGGCGCAAGCCUGAUCCAGCCAUGCCGCGUGAGUGAUGAAGGCCCUAGGGUUGUAAAGCUCUUUCACCGGUGAAGAUAAUGACGGUAACCGGAGAAGAAGCCCCGGCUAACUUCGUGCCAGCAGCCGCGGUAAUACGAAGGGGGCUAGCGUUGUUCGGAUUUACUGGGCGUAAAGCGCACGUAGGCGGAUUUUUAAGUCAGGGGUGAAAUCCCGGGGCUCAACCCCGGAACUGCCUUUGAUACUGGAAGUCUUGAGUAUGGUAGAGGUGAGUGGAAUUCCGAGUGUAGAGGUGAAAUUC
rnacentral:rRNA from 1 species